AACGAACGCUGGCGGCAGGCCUAACACAUGCAAGUCGAACGGGCGUAGCAAAUACGUCAGUGGCGGACGGGUGAGUAACACGUGGGAAUAUGCCUUUCGGUUCGGAACAACUCGGGGAAACCCGUGCUAAUUCCGGAUACGCCCUUACGGGGAAAGAUUUAUCGCCGAAAGAUUAGCCCGCGUUGGAUUAGCUAGUUGGUGAGGUAACGGCCCACCAAGGCAACGAUCCAUAGCUGGUUUGAGAGAGCGACCAGCCACACUGGGACUGAGACACGGCCCAGACUCCUACGGGAGGCAGCAGUGGGGAAUCUUGGACAAUGGGGGAAACCCUGAUCCAGCCAUGCCGCGUGAGUGAUGAAGGCCUUCGGUU
rnacentral:rRNA from 1 species